rnacentral:rRNA from 1 species
GGGUUGUGAGGUUAAGCGACUAAGCGUACACGGUGGAUGCCCUGGCAGUCAGAGGCGAUGAAGGGCGUGCUAAUCUGCGAUAAGCGCCGGUAAGGUGAUAUGAACCGUUAUAACCGGCGAUACCCGAAUGGGGAAACCCAGUGUGACUCGUCACACUAUCAUUAACUGAAUCCAUAGGUUAAUGAGGCGAACCGGGGGAACUGAAACAUCUAAGUACCCCGAGGAAAAGAAAUCAACCGAGAUUCCCCCAGUAGCGGCGAGCGAACGGGGAGGAGCCCAGAGCCUGAAUCAGCAUGUGUGUUAGUGGAAGCGUCUGGAAAGACGCGCGAUACAGGGUGACAGCCCCGUACACAAAAGCGUAUGUGCUGUGAGCUCGAUGAGUAGGGCGGGACACGUGGUAUCCUGUCUGAAUAUGGGGGGACCAUCCUCCAAGGCUAAAUACUCCUGACUGACCGAUAGUGAACCAGUACCGUGAGGGAAAGGCGAAAAGAACCCCGGCGAGGGGAGUGAAAAAGAACCUGAAACCGUGUACGUACAAGCAGUGGGAGCACAGGUUUACCUGUGUGACUGCGUACCUUUUGUAUAAUGGGUCAGCGACUUAUAUUCUGUAGCAAGGUUAACCGAAUAGGGGAGCCGGAGGGAAACCGAGUCUUAAUUGGGCGUUAAGUUGCAGGGUAUAGACCCGAAACCCGGUGAUCUAGCCAUGGGCAGGUUGAAGGUUGGGUAACACUAACUGGAGGACCGAACCGACUAAUGUUGAAAAAUUAGCGGAUGACCUGUGGCUGGGGGUGAAAGGCCAAUCAAA